CGUCCCCUAAGUGGGAGAAUAUAAGAUGGGACAUGAAUUGAUGAUUUAUAUAAUAUAAAAAGCAAAUGCAAAGUGGCACUUAAAGCAAUAACAAGCAGGAAGGUGUAGCUUGCACCAAAGGGAAUGUAAAGCAGUGUUUUGUUGUCUUGAUCUGCUGGAUUGUCAUGAAGAACAGAUAUCAACAAAUAUGAUAGCUUCAAAACAGAGUAAACUUUCAAGAUGAAGAAGGGGGUUCUCAUUUUGAGUGAGGUAAUUCAGAUUCUUUUUUAGCUGCAUCUUGGAUAUUCAAGAUGUUCAAUUGCUCUUCUUAUCUGAAAAGUUAUACUGUAUCUUACUAAGAUCACUAUAAUUACAAAUAAAGCUGACAUUAUGCACUGUAA